GCAGAAGUGAUUGUUCUAAAAAUGAAUACUGGAGCGACGGGCUCUGCUGUGACAAAUGUGCUCCAGGGUAUAAGUUUGUAAGAAAAUGCACUAGUGACUUGUCAUCUCAAUGUGAGAAAUGUGAGAGUGGGACAUACCUAGACAAGAUGAACUAUUUCCCAAACUGCUUCAGAUGCGAGAAAUGCACCAAGCCAAAUGCAGUGGUGAUUUCACCAUGUACACCCCAAAAUAACACCGUGUGUGGAUGUCAGUCUGGAUACCGCAAAAAGUUCUUUGAUAGCAUUACAUGGGAGUGUGUGCCCUGUAAACGCAAACCAAACGGCAGGAAAGCAUUAUUUUUUUCCCUCAGAAAUUAACGGAAGGUUAGCCUGAAGUAUGACCGAAGAACACAGCUCUGCCUCCAGCAUGAACAAAUACCUCAGACAAAAAUGUCAUAAUAUAUGGAAUCUACUUUCCCUUUAUUUUCAGCUGAAUUAAGAUGUAGCCUUAUAAAGCACAAUGUAUUAUAUUUGAUACAUGAGUUUCUAAAUGAUUAACAUGGUCAAAAGUUGGGUGAAAACCUGUUGUACACAAUCUACUACUGUGUUCCUCUUGACUGGUAGUUCAUGCUUUUUAUUAUUAAGUAAAAGGCCUUUUAGUAUAAUUAUAAAAGUAUCCACCUUCAGGUCAUGGUACAUGUAUCUAAUAACUUUUAUAAUGUUCGUAAAAUAUUUCAAGAUGAACAUUUACUGGACUGAAGAAACAACUAUUUGUAGGUUUAUCUAAUCAUUUUCUUUGGAGGAAAAAAAAAUCUUUUGGACCGGUUUCAUGUCAUGUGACUUUACCUCUGUCCUCCAGGAUCUAAUGUUAGAGUUGCUCCUAAAUGACUUUUUCCAUGAAACUAAAAGAACGAAUGGAAUGGAAGUCCCUUCCAGGUUCUUAUACAGUAUUAUAGUAGACAGUAUUAGUUUUUUUUCACUCUGUAAUCACACAUUUGUUUGUACAUAUCGCACUCAUUGUAUUGCAUUGCAUUAUAUAUUUUUUUAAAUAAAAAGUGACAACUGAUAUUUAUAUGCA